GAGAGCCGUGUGCGCGGAAACGUGUAAGCACAGGUUCGGAGGGGGACGGUUGGAAACGUGCCGCAAGGUAACGCCCUGGCCGUCUACCCUCC
rfam:Ktedonobacter sp. 13_2_20CM_53_11 13_2_20cm_scaffold_14163, whole genome shotgun sequence.